AACGCAACCGCCCUCCACAACUCGGGCAAAAUGGAACUCAUGGCCCAUUCUUCCGCCUUCCUCCUUCCCACGAUCUCCGGCGACCACCGCCCUUCUUUUACCUACGUCCUCGUCGUGCUUAACCAGCGACUUCCGCGGUUCAUUCCUCUCCUCUGGAAGCACUCACGACUACGCGUCUGUGCAGAUGGAGGUGCCAACCGAGUCUACGAUGAAAUGCCUUUUUUGUUCCCGCACGAAGAGGCUCUUGAUGUUCGACACAGGUACAAGCCUGAUGUAAUUGAGGGAGACAUGGAUUCAAUCCGAAUGGAAGUACGGGAUUUUUAUACCAGCCUGGGAACCAAGGUGGUUGAUGAAUCUAAUGAUCAGGACACCACAGAUCUACAUAAGUGCAUUUCAUAUAUUCGUGACUUCACUCCAGACUUGGACAAGUCUAAUCUUUGCGUUCUUGUAGCUGGAGCACUUGGGGGACGAUUUGACCAUGAGGCUGGAAACAUUAAUGUUCUGUAUCGGUUCUCAACCAUGCGAAUAAUUCUUAUAUCUAAUGAUUGCCUCAUCUACCUCCUUCCAAGGUCUCACUAUCAUGAGAUUUAUAUCCAAUCUUCUGUUGAGGGUCCACAUUGUGGACUCAUUCCCAUAGGGAUGCCAUCUGGAAAUACCACAACAACUGGACUCCAAUGGGAUCUCAAUGACAUGGAGAUGAGGUUUGGUGGUCUAGUAAGUACGUCUAACAUAGUCAGAGGAGAAAAGGUAACAGUACAAUCAAGUUCGGAUCUUCUUUGGACGAUUUCCAUUAAGAAGACUUGAUACCCACUGCUUCAGAUAGUCUGUAAGUUCUCCUAACGUACACUGAAAUGGCCUUUUCAAUAAAUAAAGCGCAUUUUAGAUUGUUCUUAUGUGCCAAUAAAUUUUGUUGUUCGGAAAAAAUUAUUGGCAGUAGCAACAUUUCUUCUAACCGUUUGUUUCUUUAAGUCAGUUUAGGUCUAUUGUUCCUCUCUCC
rnacentral:misc_RNA from 1 species